GGCCCCACUAGUCUGGGAUACCACUUGGAAACAGGUGCUAAUACCGGAUAAGAAAGCGGAUCGCAUGAUCAGCUUUUAAAAGGCGGCGUAAGCUGUCGCUAUGGGAUGGCCCCGCGGUGCAUUAGCUAGUUGGUAAGGUAAAGGCUUACCAAGGCGAUGAUGCAUAGCCGAGUUGAGAGACUGAUCGGCCACAUUGGGACUGAGACACGGCCCAAACUCCUACGGGAGGCAGCAGUC
rnacentral:rRNA from 1 species